GAGUUUGAUCAUGGCUCAGGACGAACGCUGGCGGCGUGCUUAAUACAUGCAAGUCGAACGGAGUUAAGGGUUUCGGCCUUUAACUUAGUGGCGAACGGGUGAGUAACGCGUGAAUAACCUGACUCAAAGAGGGGGAUAACAACGGGAAACUGUUGCUAAUACCGCAUGAGACCACAACACCGCAUGAUGAAGGGGUCAAAGAUUUAUCGCUUUGAGAGGGGUUCGCGUCCCAUUAGGUAGUUGGAGGGGUAACGGCCCACCAAGCCAACGAUGGGUAGCCGAGCUGAGAGGCUGAUCGGCCACACUGGAACUGAGACACGGUCCAGACUCCUACGGGAGACAGCAGUUAGGAAUAUUCGUCAAUGGAGGAAACUCUGAACGAGCAAUGCCGCGUGAGUGAUGAAGGUCUUAUAGAUUGUAAAACUCUGUUGUAUGGAAAAAACGACUAGGUUAGGAAAUGAACUUAGUGUGAUGGUACCAUACCAGAAACGCCCCGGCUAACUACGUGCCAGCA
rnacentral:rRNA from 1 species